AAGGUAAAAAUGUUUUAGGAUAUUAGUAAUUAAACGAGUUAAAGAAAUAUAAGAUUUAAGAUAGAAUGUUGCUAGCAUUCUAUCUUGAUUUUUUGAAGACUGAUUUCAGUUAGAAUUGUGGCAACAAAUAUGAAGAUUCCAGUACUUAGGUCAUAUGGUAAAAUCACGCGAAUUCUUAAGUUUUACAAGAUCGAAUUCGGUGGUUCUCUUUGUAACUUGGCUUUCUUUGCUUAGAAGCGAUCCAAACCUUUUUUAGUAGUAAUGUUGUAUUUAUUUUUCUGUAGAUUAUUUUUAUAUGUAUUUUGUAAUCUUUGUAAUUAUGUUAAAAAUUAAAAUUGGUAUAAAAUUUAACUUUUUAACAAAA
rnacentral:sRNA from 1 species